AGAGUUUGAUCCUGGCUCAGGAUGAACGCUGGCGGUAUGCCUAACACAUGCAAGUCGUACGAGAGUUUUUAACUCUAGUGGCGGACGGGUGAGUAACACGUGAGAAUUUGCCUUUAGGAGGGGGAUAACAAUUGGAAACAAAUGCUAAUACCCCAUAUGCUUUCGAGUGAAAUGAAUUUUUUAUUUGCCUAAAGAGAAGCUCGCGGCUGAUUAGCUUGUUGGUAAGGUAAGAGCUUACCAAGGCGACGAUCAGUAUCUGGUUUGAGAGGACGAUCAGACACACUGGAACUGAGACACGGUCCAGACUCCUACGGGAGGCAGCAGUGGGGAAUUUUCCGCAAUGGGCGAAAGCCUGACGGAGCAAUACCGCGUGAGGGAAGAAUGCCUAUGGGUUGUAAACCUCUUUUUUCAGGGAGGAAUAAAUGACGUGUACCUGAAGAAUAAGCAUCGGCUAACUCCGUGCCAGCAGCCGCGGUAAGACGGAGGAUGCAAGUGUUAUCCGGAAUCACUGGGCGUAAAGCGUCUGUAGGUGGUUUAAUAAGUCAACUGUUAAAUCUUGAGGCUCAACUUCAAAAUCGCAGCUGAAACUAUUAGACUAGAGUAUAGUAGAGGUAAAGGGAAUUUCCAGUGUAGCGGUGAAAUGCGUAGA
rnacentral:rRNA from 1 species